CUUGCACACAGCUUGCUCUGCACUGGACUUUGCCCACAGAGAGUUUUAGCCAGGGAACCUGUUAAUUUUAAACCAAAAGUGUGCACUUCUGCACAAGCAGAUCUGGACCUCUUUUUGGGCAGAAGCUUUUCUCCUGCUCUUGUCUUUCACAGCUCGGGAAAGAGGAAAGGUUCCCAUUGCUAAGCCAGGUCCAGGCCAGUUUUGACUCUUUAGGAUGAACCACAUUUCCCAAAAGCACAUCAGCAGGGCAGGGCCCGGCUCCUGCAAUGCAGCCCAGGAAAACGUUUGAGAGAAAAUUACCACCUGGACCCACUUUCCUGGCUGUCUUCAUCUCCACACUGGCAUCCCUUCCUCAGCCUUCCCAUAGACUCCUACAGAGCAAGACUGGGUUUUGGUUUUUCUUUUUUUUGUGCUAAACCCAAGCGUUCUGUUCAAAAAGCUCAACGUGUCUUGAGAAUGUUGACCAAGACGCUUUCGCUUGGACAGCUUUGCUGCAAGGAAGCUGAGAAGCAAUCACCCCUUGCUGUCUAUGCUGCUCCACUCCAAAGCGUUUCUUCACUGGUGGUACUUUUGGAGAUAUGUGGAAGUUAAGGGCUGGAGCUGGCAUUCAGAAUGAAUUCCUUUUGAGGCCAGUGACCACUGUUUGGGGCUGGGGCAGAAAGGCAAAGCUUCACUGCCGACCCCCAACACAGCAGCACUAAGAGGUGGUGAGCUCCCCACUGAGUGGGGCAUCCCUUUCUGAAAGCAACAAAUGCCACAGUUUGAGAGCUCGUGCACAUUUCUGGGCUUCUUGGAAAUCAGAAAUAUUCCCUCCUUCUUUACACGCUAGGAACAAUGGGAGACUUUAGCAGGGGAAGUAGAAUUCAGCAUCAUGGAGGAGCUAACAGUGUUGGUGCUGAGCAGGGUGUUCUCCCGGCUCUGCAUGCGGCCCUCUGAACAUCCCAUCAGCAGAUACCCAUUAUGGCAGCACGGGCCUUAUCCUGGCAGGAGGAACCCAAUCCUGCUUCGGUGCACCCCGGGGUGCUCCAGGAGGGUGCGUGGGAUGUCCCCGUGCCACAAGGCUCCCUGACCCCACACAGCUGCAGCCAUUGUCUUUUCUAUUUCCACAUUCAGUAUUCACCCCUCCAACCUCCCCCCAAAAAAGACCCUCAGCUUUGGAAAAAAAACACACACAAAAAAAAACCCCCUCUGCCUAUCUAAAUCCUAAAACCCUCAUUUCUCCCCUUCAUUUGCUGUCUCAGCCUGGUGGAGAUAUGCAAGUUAUGGUGUCUCCUACAGGAAAAUUACAUGGCAAAGAUUCCUUCAGACAAAGCUGCUUCUCCUUUUUAUCCCCCAUCACCUCCCCCAAAUCCCCAGGACCCUCACAGCCUCUGCAACAGCCUGGGCUGCUCCAGGCACACCAAUGGCUGGUUGGCUCUUGUUGGCUCAAUGGUACCAGUGAGAUGGGUCCACCCCUCGGGAGGAGGCACAGGGUGGCUCAGGCUGUGUCACUGUGACCAUGCACCCCAAGCGUGCAAGUGAGCCCUGCAGGCAGUCCAUGCCAGGAUGGGUCCUGCAGCCGGCAGUGAGGCACAAAGGGUACAGACGCCGUUAUAGAUUUGUUAGUUAUUCAUUGUAACAGCGCUGAUCCUAAUGAAUUCAUUUGGUAUUCAUUGGUUGUCACGCACAGUUCUGUAAGUCUUCAGCUCUAAUUUAGGACAAUUAAAAUGAAGUGUUAGCAAGCAAUGUUUCCCCUGCAUUGCACAAUCUAUAUUAUUUUCUUUUCGGGGCAGGGAUGCAGACUAACCCGGCUCAUGCUGCUGCUGUUAUCAGGGAGCGAGAUCUUACAGCUUGAUCCUGUGAUGCUUAAUGAAUUAAUACAGCAGAUAUAAUUGUCAUGGGUCAGCGUGUUGUGCUGGCCUGCAGAUCUGUCUAGAUCAGGCCUGGGGAAAGACUAAUUGAAAAACACACGUCUUGGUUUGCUUAAAAACAAUAAGCGGAUAUCUACCAGAGAGGAUCUACAAACAAGAGGCAUAAAAGCAAGCCAGUGAUUUGUCAUACGCUUCACAGUUCAAGUUGUAAAUUAGACGAUCUUUCAUAAUCACAGGGCUGGGGGAGGGGGAGAACCCAAUCAAUUUGUCUGUAAAACCCUAAGUCUUUUUGAAAACACAACCGAAAUAUAAUUCCUCUGUGUUUCCCAGUUAAUUAUCAUUUACAAUAUUUCUGGCAUCAAAGCUUUACUAGCAUGGAGGGAUCAUUUCUUCAUCACAAUACCACUUUCAGGAUUCAUUUAUCUUGUCUUUUAGACUAAUUAUCCCCAAAUUCACCAAUAGACUGUCACACUUACAUGCUCCAAUAAAUGUAGUUUUAAAUCAGCAGCUUACUUUGCUGCGGUGGUACAAGCGCUCCUGAAUUGUGUCUAACUAGAGUCAUUCAUCUGUGAUCACAACACUAAAGGGAGAACAACAACAUUAAGGUUUGUAUGAAUGAUCAUGCUUAUUUAUAUGCAAAUACGUCUGACAAAUCAAUAAUGUAUGAUUUAGCUGCUCACUGUGCAUUAGUAGAAGUGCCGCCAGUCCCAGGUGGUGGCCUCAAAAGGAUCCUCAGCUCUGCCCCCCCCAUCCCAGCCCCGCUCCAACCAGUGGCUGCAGUCAGGUGGCUGCAGGAUCAGCUGCUUGCUCAGCCGUGCAGAGCCCCACGCGUGGGGUGAUGGAGUUUGGAGAGGCUGAUGCCAGCCUGGGUGACUGCUGCAAUCCCUCCCGGAGCUGUGCUUGCUGUACUGAGUCCCAAAGCCAUCCACAAAUGGAAAAACUACAUAUCUGAGAUCUCUAUCUUGUGCCUAAGCAAAGCUGGGUGCCGGGCUAGGUGUGGCUGUGGUGUAAAUGCUGCAUUUCUUCUGAGAAGUUGCUUACGGCAGUGAUUGAUUAUUUGGGUUUCCAGCUACAAGGAGCCAAGAAGUACCACCACCACCACCCUCAGUUAUCAUUCUUCUUGCUGUGAGCAGUGAUCAAGUCCUGACCAAGGCAGAGAGAUGGAAGAUGCCCCUGAUGUGGUUGUUCCCUUGGCCACAAACAUCUGGCAGCACUGCACCUGGCUCAUAGCCACCUCCCUGGGCAAGACACCACGUCCUGUGCCACCCUCCUUCCCCGCCCGCAGGGUGCAGGUGAACACAGGCACCCCAUCGCAGAGCUCCCAU
ensembl:lncRNA